rnacentral:lncRNA from 10 species
AAGAGAAGCAGGAAAAAGUCAGAGAGAUUCUGUUUCCUGAGGCCUGCUCCUGAGUCCUAACACUCUCAACAUUAUAACGAAACACUGUAUAACAAGGGCUAUGGGAGUUAUGAGCCAGGAACCAUGGAUAAAAACAUAUAUAAAUUCACACAUAUAUUAACAUCACAUCUAUCAACGAGGUUGAGCAUUUUUUUCAUAUGUUUAUUGCAAUUUGCAUUUUCUCCUUGGUGAGCUACCUAUUUUAUGUUGUAUAUAUUUUCCCACAGUAAAAGAGAAGGAAAUGAUUUACAGCUCUACAUAGUAUCCUGGAGAGACAGUCAUGAAAAUUGUUAAGAAAAAAAAAAUCCAUGUUUCUCUGAAUAGUAAGAUGUGUGCGUGUGUGUGUUCACAGAAAAAGGAAAGGGAGGAUAUAAACCAAAUUGUUAAUAUUAACGACCUCAGGGAGUAUGCAGUAUUUAUUGUUUGGCUAUAAGAAGGGGCAUGAAUUUAGAGGUCAGACCAGGCUCAAGGCCCUAGCUCCACUACUGAUUUGAUGUGUGACAUGGACGAAUAACAUGCCAGUUUCUUCAUCUGUAAAACAGGAAGAGAAAUAGAGCUGUUGUGAGUAGUAGAUAUUACAACAGUGCCUGUCACAAUAAAGUGUAGCUAUUGUCAUCAUAUUAUUAUCUCCUUCAGUGUCUUCUUCACUGUACCAUAUCUAUUCUUCCAUUCAGGACUUCUUUAUUGGGACUGUAAAAAGAUUUAAGUAUCAAAAGAGAAAAACAUAGAAAUAAAAACAAAAUACAAAAAGCCUAAUAAUGAGGGGGUUCACAUAGUACUUGUUUCUGAUCCCACUAGAACUAGCUUGCCUCUGAGGCCAUCCGAGAUAUCUAAGCUUUGGCCCUAAAGAACUGCCACAAAUUUGGAGACGUGGCCUACAUUUCUUUCUUCUUGGUCUGUCUUCACAUAGAAGGUGCUCUUAAGACACACAGCCUAGGAACCUCCUUCUCAACACCUCCACACCUUCACUUGCUCUUUGCUAUCCCUACUGUCACCCUCCUCUUUUCUCCUGCCACAUCAACAGCUUCUUGCACUGCAAAUGUUUUCUGGAACUCUCCCCAUGACUGACAGGCUAAUAAGGAGUUAUUUUAUUUGCUGUUUGAGUCACAAAUACCAUUUUUAUCCAAUCCCAACUUUGCCUUUUUUGUAGGGUUACUGCUACAUUAAUGUUCUCUGGCUUGAGAAAUCUGAAGCCUUUAGGCAGUGAUUAGAUUUUUCCUACGUGCUUUACAACACUUCACAUUCAACAAAUUCAUUAACGAUAAACAGGAAAUAAACCAACAAUUUCUCCUGGUUUAGUUCACCCUUAGGACACGCAUCUAUGAAAUCAGAAAUCUUAUUCCUGUCAGAACAGGAUGGCCAUGUGCUUCCCUGUUAACAAAGAAGUCUUAAUUUUAUUAAUUACAAUGCUUACGACUAAAACAAAGCAGGACCUCUUUCCAUUGAUUUCACAUGAUCGCCAGAGUCUCUCAUUUCUCUGCUUCCUUCUGCCAUCUUUUUUUUUGAGACGGAGUCUUGCUCCGUCGCCCAGGCUGGAGUGCAGUAGUGCGGUCUCAGCUCACUGCAAGCUCCACCUCCCGGGUUCACAUCAUUCUCCUGCCUCAGCCUCCCAAGCAG